rnacentral:rRNA from 1 species
AUUGAACGCUGGCGGCAUGCUUUACACAUGCAAGUCGAACGGGGUGGUGGGGCAACCCGCCAUUCAGUGGCGAACGGGUGAGUAAUGCAUCGGAACGUGUCCCGUAGUGGGGGAUAACCGGCGAAAGCCGGACUAAUACCGCAUAUGCUCUACGGAGGAAAGCGGGGGACCUGAAAGGGGCCUCGCGCUAUGGGAGCGGCCGAUGUCCGAUUAGCUUGUUGGUGGGGUAAUGGCCUACCAAGGCGACGAUCGGUAGCUGGUCUGAGAGGAUGAUCAGCCACACUGGGACUGAGACACGGCCCAGACUCCUACGGGAGGCAGCAGUGGGGAAUUUUGGACAAUGGGGCAACCCUGAUCCAGCCAUGCCGCGUGCGGGAAGAAGGCC